UACGUAGGGGGCAAGCGUUGUCCGGAAUCAUUGGGCGUAAAGAGCGUGUAGGCGGUUCGGUAAGUCGGCUGUGAAAUUCCAGGGCUCAACCCUGGGAUGCCGGUCGAUACUGCCGGACUAGAGUUCGGAAGAGGCGAGUGGAAUUCCCGGUGUAGCGGUGAAAUGCGCAGAUAUCGGGAGGAACACCUAUGGCGAAGGCAGCUCGCUGGGACGUUACUGACGCUGAGACGCGAAAGCGUGGGGAGCAAACAGG
rnacentral:rRNA from 1 species